UACGGGGGGCUGCAGUGGGGAAUAUUGGACAAUGGGGGAAACCCUGAUCCAGCGACGCCGCGUGUGUGAAGAAGGCUUGCGGGUUGUAAAGCACUUUUAGUGGGGAUGAAAAGCUCAGGGAUAACACCUCUGGGUCUUGACCUAACCCACAGAAAAAGCACCGGCUAACUCUGUGCCAGCAGCCGCGGUAAUACAGAGGGUGCGAGCGUUAAUCGGAAUUACUGGGCGUAAAGCGUGCGUAGACGGUUACGUAAGUCGGGUGUGAAAGCCCCGGGCUCAACCUGGGAAUUGCAUUCGAGACUGCAUAGCUAGGGUGCGGAAGAGGGAAGCGGAAUUUCCGGUGUAGCGGUGAAAUGCGUAGAUAUCGGAAGGAACACCAGUGGCGAAAGCGGCUUCCUGGUCCAGCACCGACGUUCAGGCACGAAAGCGUGGGGAGCAAACAGGAUUAGAUACCCCAGUAGUCAUCUUCUAGA
rnacentral:rRNA from 1 species